UGCAGCAGAUGCUAUGAUGUCAGGUAUC
rnacentral:piRNA from 1 species